GUAGUCUGCAACCCGACUACAUGAAGCUGGAAUCGCUAGUAAUCGCGGAUCAGAAUGCCGCGGUGAAUACGUUCCCGGGUCUUGUACACACCGCCCGUCACACAUGGGAGUCGGAAAUGCCCGAAGUCUGUGACCUAACCGUAAGGAAGGAGCAGCCGAAGGCAGGUCGGAUGACUGGGGUGAAGUCGUAACAAGGUACC
rnacentral:rRNA from 1 species